rnacentral:rRNA from 1 species
CCUACGGGUGGCAGCAGUGGGGAAUAUUGCACAAUGGGGGAAACCCUGAUGCAGCGACGCCGCGUGAGUGAAGAAGUAUUUCGGUAUGUAAAGCUCUGUCAGCAGGGAAGAAAAUGACGGUACCUGACCCAGUAGCCCCGGCUAACUACGUGCCAGCAGCCGCGGUCAUACGUCGGGGGCAAGCGUUAUCCGGAUUUACUGGGUGUAAAGGGAGCGUAGACGGCAGGGCAAGUCUGGAGUGAAAGGCGAGGGCUCAACCCCCGGACUGCUCUGGAAACUGCCAGGCUGGAGUGCAGGAGAGGUAAGUGGAAUGCCUAGUGUAGCGGUGAAAUGCGUAGAUAUUAGGAGGAACACCAGUGGCGAAGGCGGCUUACUGGACUGUAACUGACGUUGAGGCUCGAAAGCGUGGGGAGCAAACAGGAUUAGAUACCCGGGUAGUC